UUGACAACCCUGAAGUCCUAUAUUUAUCCACAGAACAGACGCAACUCAGGUAGUGGCAGUGAAAAUUUCCUCACAGUGCCCUGCCAAUGUGCCUUGUCCCCCUGUACCUGGAAGAGACGGACCUUUGUGGUGGGUGAGGAGGUAGCUCAGUCUCCAGACUCAUCCAAUGAUUAGCCCCA
ensembl:misc_RNA